UGGUUUCAGUUCAUGCCAGAACAGUAUAUGCAAAUCUACUGGCAUAGAUUUGAAACUUG
ensembl:miRNA